rnacentral:rRNA from 1 species
CCUAGUUGAUUCAGCCAGUAGUCAUAUGCUUUUCUCAAAGAUUAAUCCAUGCAUGUGUAAGUAUGAAUAAAUUCAGACUGUGAAACUGUGAGUGGCUCAUUAAAUCAGUUAUAUNCGAAUGGCUCAUUAAAUCAGUUAUAGUUUGUUUGAUGGUAUCUACUACUCGGAUAACCGUAGUAAUUCUAGAGCUAAUACGUGCAACAAACCCCGACUUCUGGAAGGGAUGCAUUUAUUAGAUGAAAGGUCAACGUGGGCUCUGCCCAUUCCUGCAAUGAUUCAUGAUAACUCGACGGAUCGCAUGGCCAUCGUGCCUGUGAUGCAUCAUUCAAAUUUCUGUCCUAUUAAGUUUCGAUGGUAAGUUAGUGGCCUACCAUAGUGGUGACGGGUGAUGGAGAAUUAGGGUUCAAUUUUAGAGAGGAAGCCUGAGAAACGGCUUCCACAUCCAAAGAAGGCAGCAGGCAAGCAAAUUAUCCAAUCCUGACACUGGGAGGUAGUGACAAUAAAUAACAAUACCGGGCUCAAUGGGUUUGGUAAUUGGAAUGACUAAAAUUUAAAUCCCUUAAUGUCGAUCCAUUGGAGGGAGAGUCUGGUGCCAGCAGCCGCGGUAAUUCCAGCACCAAUAGCAUAUAUUUAAGUUGUUGCUAUUAAAAAGCUCAAAUUUGGACUUUGGGAUUGGCCGGCCGGUUCGUCUAUGGUGUGCAUUGGUCAUCUCGUCCCUUCUGUCGGCGAUGCGCUCCUGGCCUUAAUUGUCCGGGUCGUGCCUCCGGUGCUGUUACUUUGAAGAAAUUAGAGUGCUUAAAGCAAGCCUACGCUCUGUAUACAUUAGCAUGCGAUAACAUUAUAUGAUUUCAGUCUUAUUACGUUGGCUUUCAGGAUCAGACUAAUGAUUAACAGGGAUAGUCGAGGGCAUUCGUAUUUCAUAGUCAGAGGUGAAAAUAUUGGAUUUAUGAAAUACGAUCAACUGUGAAAGCAUUUUCCAAGGCUGUUUUCAUUAAUCAAGAAUGAAAGUUAGAGGCUCGAAGGCGAUCAGAUACCGUCCUAGUCUCAAUUAUAAAUGAUGUCGACCAGGGAUCGGCGGAUGUUUCUUUUAGGACUUCUCCGGCACCUUAUGAGAAAUCAAAGUUUUUGGAUUCUGGGGGGAGUAUGGUGGCAAGGCUAAAACUUAAAGGAAUUGACAGAAGGGCACCACCGGGAGUGGAGCCUGCGGCUUAAUUUGACUCAACCAGGGGAAACUUACCAGGUCCAGACAUAGUAAGGAUUGAAAGACUGAGAGUUCUUUCUUGAUUCUAUGGGUGGUGUUGCUUGGCCAUUCUUAGUUGGUGGAGCGAUUUUUUUGGUUAAUUCCAUUAACAAACGAGACCUCAGCCUGCUUUCUAGCUAUGAGGAGGUAUUCCUUCGCGGCCAGCUUCUUAGAGGGACUAUGGCCUUUUAGGCCACGGAAGUUUGAUGCAAUAACAGGUCUGUGAUGCCCUUAGAUGUUCAAUGAGUUUAUAGCCUUGGUCGCCCAGCCCGGGUAAUCUUUGAAAUUUUAUCAUGAUGGAGAUAUAUCAUUGCAAUUGUUGGUCUUCUAUGAAGAAUUUCUAGUAAGCGCGAGUCAUCAACUCGCGUUUACUACGUCCCGUCCCUUUGUACACACCACCCAUUGCUCCUACCGAUUGAAUGAUCCGAUAAAAUGUACGGAUCGUAGUAAAGUGGGCGGUUCGCUGCCCGCGACGUCGUCAAAUAUCCAUUGAACCUUAUCAUUUAGAGGAAGGAGAAUUCGUAACAAGGUUUUCGUCGGUGAACCUGUGGAAG